GAUCGGAUGUUGCUUUAAAGUAUUCUAUACAUUGUGUUAUUAUUCUCCUUGCAGUCUUGUUCCCUUCCAAGAUUGUUUCGUCUCUUCCGAGGUCUUGGUCUUCGCCAUUUGAUCAUAGUCAAUGAUAAGAAUGACGUUACGGGAAUAGUCACUCGGAAAGAUCUCGCAAAAUAUCGUGCUGAAGCAAAACGUGGAAUUGUCCAAAUCGAGACUUUGGAAAUCUCAGAUCUCUGAACGGCAGCCACAAUAAGACUUUCCUUUAUCAGGGCAGACCUACAAGAACGCAAUGAGUACGACAGCUGCUAUGCAAUCAUUACCACCAAUAACAACAACAACAACAACUACAACAACAAAAAUAACAGCUAAUAAAAAAAAAAACCAGAUAACUAAUACCGAAAUAACGAAAGUAAAAAAAAAAA